rnacentral:rRNA from 1 species
AUGAACGCUAGCUACAGGCUUAACACAUGCAAGUCGAGGGGCAGCAUGGUCUUAGCUUGCUAAGGCCGAUGGCGACCGGCGCACGGGUGAGUAACACGUAUCCAACCUGCCGUCUACUCUUGGACAGCCUUCUGAAAGGAAGAUUAAUACAAGAUGGCAUCAUGAGUCCGCAUGUUCACAUGAUUAAAGGUAUUCCGGUAGACGAUGGGGAUGCGUUCCAUUAGAUAGUAGGCGGGGUAACGGCCCACCUAGUCUUCGAUGGAUAGGGGUUCUGAGAGGAAGGUCCCCCACAUUGGAACUGAGACACGGUCCAAACUCCUACGGGAGGCAGCAGUGAGGAAUAUUGGUCAAUGGGCGAGAGCCUGAACCAGCCAAGUAGCGUGAAGGAUGACUGCCCUAUGGGUUGUAAACUUCUUUUAUAAAGGAAUAAAGUCGGGUAUGGAUACCCGUUUGCAUGUACUUUAUGAAUAAGGAUCGGCUAACUCCGUGCCAGCAGCCGCGGUAAUACGGAGGAUCCGAGCGUUAUCCGGAUUUAUUGGGUUUAAAGGGAGCGUAGAUGGAUGUUUAAGUCAGUUGUGAAAGUUUGCGGCUCAACCGUAAAAUUGCAGUUGAUACUGGAUAUCUUGAGUGCAGUUGAGGCAGGCGGAAUUCGUGGUGUAGCGGUGAAAUGCUUAGAUAUCACGAAGAACUCCGAUUGCGAAGGCAGCCUGCUAAGCUGCAACUGACAUUGAGGCUCGAAAGUGUGGGUAUCAAACAGGAUUAGAUACCCUGGUAGUCCACACGGUAAACGAUGAAUACUCGCUGUUUGCGAUAUACGGCAAGCGGCCAAGCGAAAGCGUUAAGUAUUCCACCUGGGGAGUACGCCGGCAACGGUGAAACUCAAAGGAAUUGACGGGGGCCCGCACAAGCGGAGGAACAUGUGGUUUAAUUCGAUGAUACGCGAGGAACCUUACCCGGGCUUAAAUUGCAGAUGAAUUACGGUGAAAGCCGUAAGCCGCAAGGCAUCUGUGAAGGUGCUGCAUGGUUGUCGUCAGCUCGUGCCGUGAGGUGUCGGCUUAAGUGCCAUAACGAGCGCAACCCUUGUUGUCAGUUACUAACAGGUUCUGCUGAGGACUCUGACAAGACUGCCAUCGUAAGAUGUGAGGAAGGUGGGGAUGACGUCAAAUCAGCACGGCCCUUACGUCCGGGGCUACACACGUGUUACAAUGGGGGGUACAGAGGGCCGCUACCACGCGAGUGGAUGCCAAUCCCCAAAACCUCUCUCAGUUCGGACUGGAGUCUGCAACCCGACUCCACGAAGCUGGAUUCGCUAGUAAUCGCGCAUCAGCCACGGCGCGGUGAAUACGUUCCCGGGCCUUGUACACACCGCCCGUCAAGCCAUGGGAGCCGGGGGUACCUGAAGUGCGUAACCGCGGGGAGCGCCCUAGGGUAAAACUGGUGACUGGGGCU